CGGUGAAACCGCGAAUGGCUCAUUAAAUCAGCUAUGGUUUAUUGGAUCAUACUCGUUAAAUGGAUAACUGUAAUAACUCUAGAGCUAAUACAUGCCACGAAGCCCUGACGCCGCUUGCGGUGAAUGGGUGCACUUAUUAGAACAGAAGCCAACCAGUUUGUGCAUUCCUUGUGGGUGCAUGGGCUGUAGCACUUCUGGUGACUCUGGAUAAUUGUUACAGAUCGCAGUCGGCUCCAAGUCGGCGACGGGUCCUUCAAAUGUCUGCCCUAUCAACUUUCGAUGGUAGGUGACCUGCCUACCAUGGUGAUAACGGGUAACGGGGAAUCAGGGUUCGAUUCCGGAGAGGGAGCCUGAGAAACGGCUACCACUUCCAAGGGAGGCAGCAGGCGCGCAAAUUACCCACUCCCAGUACGGGGAGGUGGUGACGAAAAAUACCGAUGCGGGACUCAUCAACGAGGCUCCGUAAUCGGAAUGAGUGGAAUCUAAAUCCUUUCACGAGGAUCAAUUGGAGGGCAAGUCUGGUGCCAGCAGCCGCGGUAACUCCAGCUC
rnacentral:rRNA from 1 species